GGGUCUGUGGUCUAGGGGUAUGACACUCCCUUAGCAACAUUAAUGAUUCUCCUUCACAGGAGGCUUCUAAUAGCGCUAGUAUAGUAUGGGAGAGGUCCCGAGUUCAAUUCUCGGCGGAUCCA